AAAUUAUUCCAAGCGGGAGUGAUCCGAUAUAAAUAUAUAACAGCGGAAAUACCUGUACAGAACAAACCAUUGGUUUCUUUCCCCCUGACUUAUAUUCCCUAUCAAAAAAUGUUCGUUGUUAAAAUAAAGUACAAAGAACUUCUGAAGGAUUUGCCUUCAACUGCAAUUAUAAUGUAUGCUGACAGUCAUACCCGCUGCAGGUUUGUGCACCUGUCCUGAUUGAUUCAGGGACCUGUCGUUCAGCAGUUAUCGUUUGUUGAUGUGGUUCAUUGGUAUUUUCCCGUUUGGAAAUAUAAAUUAGAUCGUUGGUUUUCCUGUUCGAAUUGUGUACAAUACUAAGUUGCGGUCCCUUAUAGCUUGCUGUUUGGUCUGGAUCAAAGCUCUGUGUAAAAGGCCGUACUUUGACCUAUGUUUGUUAUUAUCAGGUUAUCCCUCAGACAAGGGCCUUGAAGGGGUCAUUUUACCAUGUUUACCAAGUUGUUUUUACUGUUGUAGAAAAGAAAAUAGAAAUACUAAGGAUUUGUAUAGUGCUACUAUACAAAACCUUUGAAAACUUAGAAUUUUUU
rnacentral:lncRNA from 1 species